rnacentral:rRNA from 1 species
UACGUAGGGCGCGAGCGUUGUCCGGAAUUAUUGGGCGUAAAGAGCUCGUAGGCGGCCUGUUGCGUCCGCUGUGAAAUCCCGGGGCUCAACCCUGGGCGUGCAGUGGAUACGGGCAGGCUGGAGGCAGGCAGGGGAGAACGGAAUUCCUGGUGUAGCGGUGGAAUGCGCAGAUAUCAGGAGGAACACCGAUGGCGAAGGCAGAUCUCUGGGCCGUAACUGACGCUGAGGAGCGAAAGCAUGGGGAGCGAACAGG